UACGGAGGGCGCAAGCGUUGUUCGGUGUCACUGGGCGUAAAGCGCGCAUAGGCGGCUUGGUAAGUCGGGUGUGAAAUCCCGGGGCCUAACCCCGGAACUGCACUCGAAACUGCCUCGCUCGAGUCCCGGAGAGGAUGGUGGAAUUCCCGGUGUAGUGGUGAAAUACGUAGAUAUCGGGAGGAACACCAGCGGCGAAGGCGGCCAUCUGGACGGUGACUGACGCUGAGAGGCGAAAGCGUGGGGAGCAAACAGG
rnacentral:rRNA from 1 species